AAUACAUGCAAGUCGAGCGGACAGAUGGGAGCUUGCUCCCUGAUGUUAGCGGCGGACGGGUGAGUAACACGUGGGUAACCUGCCUGUAAGACUGGGAUAACUCCGGGAAACCGGGGCUAAUACCGGAUGGUUGUUUGAACCGCAUGGUUCAAACAUAAAAGGUGGCUUCGGCUACCACUUACAGAUGGACCCGCGGCGCAUUAGCUAGUUGGUGAGGUAAUGGCUCACCAAGGCAACGAUGCGUAGCCGACCUGAGAGGGUGAUCGGCCACACUGGGACUGAGACACGGCCCAGACUCCUACGGGAGGCAGCAGUAGGGAAUCUUCCGCAAUGGACGAAAGUCUGACGGAGCAACGCCGCGUGAGUGAUGAAGGUUUUCGGAUCGUAAAGCUCUGUUGUUAGGGAAGAACAAGUACCGUUCGAAUAGGGCGGUACCUUGACGGUACCUAACCAGAAAGCCACGGCUAACUACGUGCCAGCAGCCGCGGUAAUACGUAGGUGGCAAGCGUUGUCCGGAAUUAUUGGGCGUAAAGGGCUCGCAGGCGGUUUCUUAAGUCUGAUGUGAAAGCCCCCGGCUCAACCGGGGAGGGUCAUUGGAAACUGGGGAACUUGAGUGCAGAAGAGGAGAGUGGAAUUCCACGUGUAGCGGUGAAAUGCGUAGAGAUGUGGAGGAACACCAGUGGCGAAGGCGACUCUCUGGUCUGUAACUGACGCUGAGGAGCGAAAGCGUGGGGAGCGAACAGGAUUAGAUACCCUGGUAGUCCACGCCGUAAACGAUGAGUGCUAAGUGUUAGGGGGUUUCCGCCCCUUAGUGCUGCAGCUAACGCAUUA
rnacentral:rRNA from 1 species